rnacentral:rRNA from 1 species
UACGGGGGGAGCAAGCGUUGUUCGGAUUUACUGGGCGUAAAGGGCGCGUAGGCGGCCUCCGCAAGUCAGUUGUGAAAUCUCCGAGCUUAACUCGGAAAGGUCAACUGAUACUGCGGGGCUAGAGUGCGGAAGGGGCAACUGGAAUUCUUGGUGUAGCGGUGAAAUGCGCAGAUAUCAGGAGGAACACCAAUUGCGAAGGCAGCUCGCUGGGACGUUACUGACGCUGAGACGCGAAAGCGUGGGGAGCAAACAGG